rnacentral:rRNA from 1 species
UACGAAGGGGGCUAGCGUUGCUCGGAAUGACUGGGCGUAAAGGGCGCGUAGGCGGUUUGUACAGUCAGAUGUGAAAUUCCUGGGCUCAACCUGGGGGCUGCAUUUGAUACGUAUGGACUGGAGUGAGGAAGAGGGUCGUGGAAUUCCCAGUGUAGAGGUGAAAUUCGUAGAUAUUGGGAAGAACACCGGUGGCGAAGGCGGCGACCUGGUCCUUUACUGACGCUGAGGCGCGAAAGCGUGGGGAGCAAACAGG